UACGUAGGGCGCAAGCGUUAUCCGGAAUUAUUGGGCGUAAAGAGCUCGUAGGCGGUUUGUCGCGUCUGUCGUGAAAGUCCGGGGCUCAACUCCGGAUCUGCGGUGGGUACGGGCAGACUAGAGUGAUGUAGGGGAGACUGGAAUUCCUGGUGUAGCGGUGAAAUGCGCAGAUAUCAGGAGGAACACCGAUGGCGAAGGCAGGUCUCUGGGCAUUAACUGACGCUGAGGAGCGAAAGCAUGGGGAGCGAACAGG
rnacentral:rRNA from 1 species